rnacentral:sRNA from 1 species
CCUGUAAUCCCAGCUACUCCGGAGGCUGAGGCAGGAGAAUCGCUUGAACCUGGGAGGCGGAGGUUGUGGUGAGCCAAGUUUACAAGUCCUUCCACUUUCUCUCUGAGGCAGAAAGCGCAAGGGUUUUUCUGUCUAUUUUAUGGUUGGGAAAAUUGAGGCCUGCCUGAGUGUGUGACUUGUGGCAAGUCACUCUGGUCAUCUAGGGCAGAGGCUCCCCAGAGCCCAGGCCUCCUGCCUCCAGUCCCCAGCCCACAGCCCAGGAUUAGGCAGAGCCAGCUGCUUUCCCGUGGCUGCCCUGACUCCUUACAGGGAUCACUGAGAUUCUGAUGAACAGACCUUCUGCCCGCAAUGCCUUGGGGAAUGUCUUCGUCAGUGAGGUAAGAAAGGGCGGGCGCCAGGGUGGGCUGGGGAUGGGCUGGCACUAUCUAACUGGGUGUCCUCUGUAGCUGCUGGAAACUCUGGCCCAGCUGCGGGAGGACCGGCAAGUGCGUGUCCUGCUCUUCAGAAGUGGAGUGAAGGGCGUGUUCUGUGCAGGUGCAGACCUGAAGGAGCGGGAACAGAUGAGUGAAGCAGAGGUGGGGGUGUUUGUCCAGCGACUCCGGGGCCUGAUGAAUGACAUCGCAGCCUUCCCUGCACCCACCAUUGCGGCUAUGGAUGGGUUUGCCUUGGGCGGAGGCCUAGAGCUUGCCCUGGCCUGUGACCUCCGAGUGGCAGCUUCCUCGGCCGUCAUGGGACUGAUUGAGACCACGCGAGGGCUCCUCCCGGGGGCAGGAGGGACUCAGAGGCUGCCCCGUUGUCUGGGGGUGGCCCUGGCGAAGGAGCUCAUCUUCACGGGCCGACGACUGAGUGGAACUGAGGCCCAUGUACUGGGGCUGGUGAAUCACGCUGUGGCCCAGAACGAGGAGGGGGACGCCGCCUACCAGCGGGCACGAGCACUGGCCCAGGAGAUCCUGCCCCAGGCCCCCAUUGCCGUGCGGCUGGGCAAAGUAGCCAUUGACCGAGGAAUGGAG